AGUGAACGCUGGCGGCGUGCUUAAUACAUGCAAGUCGAAGGAAGUGGCGCACGGGUGAGUAAUAUAUAGCUAAUCUGCCCCCUGCUGGAGGACAACAGUUAGAAAUGACUGCUAAUACUCCACAGCAUGGGAUGAGACUAUAUCGUAUCAGCUAGUCGGUGUGGGAACGGCCUACCGAGGCUAUGACGCGUAACUGGUCUGAGAGGAUGAUCAGUGACGUUGGAAGGGGGAAACGGUCCGGACUCCUACGGAAGGGAGCAGUAUGGAAUAGUGCACAAUGGGGGAAGCCCUGACGGAGCAAGGGCGGGUGGAGGAUGUUACUUUUGAGAGAAUAAAUUCCUUUUGUUAGGGAAGCGGUACCUAACUAAUAAGCACCGGCUAACUCCGUGCCAGCAGCCGCGGUAAUUC
rnacentral:rRNA from 1 species